rnacentral:rRNA from 1 species
CCUACGUGAGGCAGCAGUGGGGAAUAUUGGGCAAUGGGCGCAAGCCUGACCCAGCAACGCCGCGUGAAGGAAGACGGCUUUCGGGUUGUAAACCUCUUUUCUCAGGGACGAAGCAAGUGACGCUACCUGCGGAAUAUGCCACGGCUAACUACGGACCAGCAGUCGCAGUAAGACGGUGGGGGCAAUCGUCCUCCGGAUCUACUGGGUGUAAAGGGGGUGUAGGCGUGGACGCAAGUAAGAUGUGAAAACCACGGGCUCAACCUGUGGCCUGCAUUUGAAACUGUGUUUCUUGAGUACAGGAGAGGCAGACGGAAUUCCUAGUGUAGCGGUGAAAUGCGUAGAUAUUAGGAGGAACACCAGUGGCGAAGGCGGUCUGCUGGACAGCAACUGACGCUGAGGCGCGAAAGCGUGGGGAGCAAACAGGAUUAGAUACCCGGGUAGUC